AAGUCGUAACAAGGUUUCCGUAGGUGAACCUGUGGAAGGAUCAUUACAACACCCUUUUCUUUUUUCAUUUCUUUUAAUGAAAUAAAACCCCCUUUUUGUUGAACUUUUUACUUUUUUAUUUUUGUAAUUUUUAUUUUAUUACUAUUAGGAUUAUAUGUAUUUUUAUUCUGUUUUUCUUUUUUCUUAUGAAAGAAGAAAGAAAUAGGAUGAUUAUAUAUAAUGCUAAUUAAUAAUAAUAAUAAUAAUAUACCCUAUCUUACCCCAAUCUUUAAUUUUUUAAAAAUCUGUUAUAAACCUAAAAAAACAAAAACUUUUAUUUUGCUUUUAUUAUUUUACAUAAUAAAAAGAAAAUAAAAGAAAAUAUUAUUAAUAAGAGAACAACUCUUAACAAUGGAUAUCUAGGCUCUCGU
rnacentral:misc_RNA from 1 species